AACGAACGCUGGCGGCAGGCUUAACACAUGCAAGUCGAACGAGACCUUCCGGUCUAGCGGCGGACGGGUGAGUAACCCGUGGGAACGUGCCCUUCUCUACGGAAUAGCCCCGGGAAACUGAUAGUAAUACCGUAUACGCGCUUUGGGCGAAAGAUUCAUCGAGCAAGGAUCGGCCCGGGUUGGAUGAGGUAGUUGGUUGGGAAAUGGCCCAUCAAGGCGAGGAUCCAUAGAUGGUGUGAGAGGAUGAUCAGCCACACUGGGAGUGAGACACGGCCCAGACUCCUACGGGAUGCAGCAGUGGGGAAUGUUAGACAAUCGGGGCAAUCCUGAUCUAGCUAUGCCGGGUGAGCGAUGAAGGCAUUAGGGUUGUAAAGCUCUUUUAGCUGGGAAGAUAUUGACGGUACCAGAAGAAGAAGCCACGGCUAACUCCGUG
rnacentral:rRNA from 1 species